CAGCACCUCAAGUGGUCAGGAUGAUUAUUGGGCCUAAAGCAUCCGUAGCCCGCUUUGUAAGUUUUCGGUUAAAUCCAUACGCUCAACGUAUGGGCUGCCGGGAAUACUGCAAAGCUAGGGAGUGGGAGAGGUAGACGGUACUCGGUAGGAAGGGGUAAAAUCCUUUGAUCUAUUGAUGACCACCUGUGGCGAAGGCGGUCUACCAGAACACGUCCGACGGUGAGGGAUGAAAGCUGGGGGAGCAAACCGGAUUAGAUACCCGAGUAGUCC
rnacentral:rRNA from 1 species